UACGUAGGGUGCGAGCGUUAAUCGGAAUUACUGGGCGUAAAGCGUGCGCAGGCGGCGCCGCAAGUCGAGUGUGAAAUCCCCGAGCUUAACUUGGGAAUUGCGCUCGAAACUACGGUGCUGGAGUGUGGCAGAGGGAGGUGGAACUCCUGGUGUAGCGGUGAAAUGCGCAGAUAUCAGGAAGAACACCAGCGGCGAAGGCGGCACUCUGGGCUGGAAUUGACGCUGAGGAGCGAAAGUGUGGGUAGCAAACAGG
rnacentral:rRNA from 1 species